AACGAACGCUGGCGGCAGGCCUAACACAUGCAAGUCGAGCGCCCCGCAAGGGGAGCGGCGGACGGGUGAGUAACGCGUGGGAACGUACCCUUUGCUACGGAAUAGCCUCGGGAAACUGGGAGUAAUACCGUAUGUGCCCCUUGGGGGAAAGAUUUAUCGGCAAAGGAUCGGCCCGCGUUGGAUUAGGUAGUUGGUGGGGUAAUGGCCUACCAAGCCGACGAUCCAUAGCUGGUUUGAGAGGAUGAUCAGCACACUGGAACUGAGACACGGUCCAGACUCCUACGGGAGGCAGCAGUGGGGAAUA
rnacentral:rRNA from 1 species